GGCUCCAUAGUGUAGUGGUUAGCACAUCUGCUUUAUAUGCAGAAGGUCCUGGGUUUGCACCCCAGAUGGAGCCA
rfam:Pteropus alecto contig166099, whole genome shotgun sequence.